rnacentral:rRNA from 1 species
GGUGAGCUACCCCGAGACAGCCUAUGUUAAUUUAGGGCUAACCCGUCUCUGUGGCAAAAGAGUGGGAAGAGCUCCGGGUAGAAGUGAAAGACCUACCGAACCUGGUGAUAGCUGGUUGACUGAGAGAUGGAUAGAAGUUCAGCCUCGCACACCCCAAACCAAAAAAUAUUAUUAUCAAGAUAUUUAGGGAUACGUACGAGAGUUAGUUAAAAGGGGUACAGCCCUUUUAACAAAGGAUACAACCUUUACAGGAGGAUAAAGAUCAUAAUGUAUAAGAUAUACUGUUCUAGUGGGCCUGAAAGCAGCCACCUAUACAGAAAGCGUUAAAGCUCGGACAGAAAGAAAUUUAUUAUUUAGAUAAAAAAUCUUAUUCCCCUAACUAUAUCAGACCAACCCAUGCCUACAUGGAAGAGAUUAUGCUAAAAUGAGUAAUAAGAAGACCCGCUCUUCUCCCAGCACAAGUGUAAGCCAGAUCGGACUAGCCACUGGAAUUUAACGAACCCAACCCAAGAGGGUAAUGUGAUCAACAAAAAACCCAAGAAGAUCUCACAUUAAAUAAUCGUUAACCCCACACUGGAGUGCUAUUUUAAGGGAAAGACUAAAAGAAGGGGAAGGAACUCGGCAAACACAAGCCUCGCCUGUUUACCAAAAACAUCGCCUCCUGCAACUGAACUGAGUAUAGGAGGUCCAGCCUGCCCAGUGACUACGGGUUCAACGGCCGCGGUAUCUUGACCGUGCAAAGGUAGCGCAAUCACUUGUCUCUUAAAUAGAGACCUGUAUGAAUGGCUAGACGAGGGCUUAACUGUCUCCCCCCUCCAGUCAGUGAAAUUGAUCUAUCCGUGCAGAAGCGGGUAUAAAUAUACAAGACGAGAAGACCCUUUGGAGCUUAAGGUACAAAUUCAACCACGUUAAACAACUCUAUAAAAAGCAAGAACUUAGUGAUACUGAAAUUUUACCUUCGGUUGGGGCGACCGCGGAGGAAAAACAAGCCUCCGAGUGGACUGGGCCAAACCCCUGAAGCUAAUAGAGACAUCUAUAGGACACAGAAUAUCUGACCAAAAAUGAUCCGGCUAAAAAGCCGAUCAACGAACCAAGUUACCCAAGGGAUAACAGCGCAAUCCCCUCCCAGAGCCCAUAUCUACGAGGGGGUUUACGACCUCGAUGUUGGAUCAGGACAUCCUAAUGGUGC